CCUUGAUCUUGGACUUCCCAGUCUCUAGAACUAUAAGAAAUAAUUUUUGUUGUUUAUCUGCCACCCAGUCUAUAGUAUUUUGUUAUGGUGUUCCAAAUGCAUUAAGACAGAAAACAACCUAAUUUAAAAAUUGGAAAAAUGCUUGAAGAGACAUUUCAGUAAUCAAGAUAAAAGGAUGGCAAAAUGCAGAAAUCCUGGUGGGAGCUGAAGUAGUCAUCAUGGUUCAGGAGAUGGAAGCCACCUUUUGAGAGAGCAGAAGAAAAAGACACAAGAAGUCAAACUCCACAGAAUCAUGGUGCCACCUUACCAGCCCUGGACUCCUAUAUUGAAGCUAUUCAAAAAACAUUUUUAGGCUCCUCCCGCGAAUCGCAGCCCCUGGGACUAGGGUUGCUCCAUC
rnacentral:lncRNA from 1 species